rnacentral:rRNA from 1 species
UACGUAGGUGACAAGCGUUAUUCGGAAUUAUUGGGCGUAAAGGGCGCGUAGGCGGCUUUGCAAGUGACGGGUGAAAGCCCUCGGCUUAACCGAGGAACUGCCUGUCAGACUGUAAGGCUUGAGACCGGGAGAGGUGAGUGGAAUUCCCAGUGUAGCGGUGAAAUGCGUAGAUAUUGGGAGGAACACCAGUGGCGAAGGCGGCUCACUGGACCGGAACUGACGCUGAGGCGCGAAAGCGUGGGGAGCAAACAGG